UUAGCAGUGCUUAUUGUUCGUUUAUUUCUUCUCACCGUGUAUAUGUAUAACCAUGAAGGCAGAUGCAAGCUGUCACAAGGUCUGACACUUCUGUUUAAAAAUUUCCCUAGGCUAUCUAAUUGCACAAACUGUCAUCUAGUUAUUAUUUCCAUCAUUGAGUAGGCAUGUUUAUUUUUGAUAACUCAAUCGAGUAAUAUUGUGGCUAUGUUUCGUUAAAAUAUAAACCAAAAUUUAUCGUAGGUUUAUAAACAUCAACAGAAAUAAGAAAAAAGAAGGUUUAUGUUGUGUUAUAGUAUUCAUUUUGGAGGAAAUUUCGUGCAGAGAUGAUACUCUUAAGUGCUCCAUUUCAGUUGUGGGUGAAGACAAUCCAUUUUCAAGUGGAGACAUUACCAUUGAAAAGAAAUGAUUUGUAUCAUCCCUAAGUGGUUUUUCAUUUUUUGAAUAUAUUUUUUUAGUAGUUUCAA